UCAGGUGGCCGAGUUGCUGCAGAGGAUUGCAGAGUUGAAGAAGGCAGGGCUGACUGGGGUCAAUGUAGUCGCCAGUUUUUUGAAGAGAAGAGUACAACCAUUGCAGCUGCGCCAAACUUGGGGCUAUGAGUACUCAGGUUUUGAUGAUGCUUCGCGGAUGUCUAUUGAAGGUAUAUUUGAUGAAGCUAUUGAAGACUUGUUGGGCAAAUUUUUCAAGAAUUUCCAAGGAGUGCUCAAAGUUGAUGAGUCCAUUCAGGAGUUUGACAGCUAGUAUAAACCUAGAGAGGUAACUUGCUUUCCUUUUGAGUACUCAUAAUUAGUAGUCAUCAUGUUUGCCAACCAGUAAUUCCUUAUGCAGGAGGAUGUCCUUUUAUACUUUUCUCUUCCUCCUCCUCCUGAUGCCGAUGUUGCAAAAAAUGCGAGAUCUGUGUACUACGUGCGUUUACCUG
rnacentral:lncRNA from 1 species